UACGUAGGGGGCAAGCGUUGUCCGGAAUCAUUGGGCGUAAAGAGCGUGUAGGUGGCUCGUUAAGUCCGCUGUGAAAGUCCAGGGCUCAACCCUGGAAUGCCGGUGGAAACUGUCGAGCUCGAGUCCGGAAGAGGCGAGUGGAAUUCCUGGUGUAGCGGUGAAAUGCGCAGAUAUCAGGAAGAACACCCGUGGCGAAGGCGGCUCUCUGGAACGCAACUGACGCUGAGACGCGAAAGCGUGGGGAGCAAACAGG
rnacentral:rRNA from 1 species